AAUACUUCGGGGCCGGGAGCGGGGAGAGUACGGAGGAGCCAAACGUUAGCCGGAAUAAUUGGGUUUAAAGGGUCCGUAGGUGGUUUUAUAAGUAAGUGGUGAAAGCCCAUCGCUCAACGAUGGAACGGCCAUUGAUACUGUAGGACUUGAAUGCUUAGGAAGUAACUAGAAUAUGUAGUGUAGCGGUGAAAUGCUUAGAUAUUACAUGGAAUACCAAUUGCGAAGGCAGGUUACUACUAAGUGAUUGACGCUGAUGGACGAAAGCGUGGGGAGCGAACAGGAUUUGAUACCCGAGUAGUC
rnacentral:rRNA from 1 species